AAACCAACAGGGAUUGCCUCAGUAACGGCGAGUGAAGCGGCAAAAGCUCAAAUUUGAAAUCUAGCACCUUCGGUGUUCGAGUUGUAAUUUGAAGAUGGUAACCUUGGGUUUGGCUCUUGUCUAUGUUCCUUGGAACAGGACGUCAUAGAGGGUGAGAAUCCCGUCUGAUGAGAUGCCCAUUCCUAUGUAAGGUGCUAUCGAAGAGUCGAGUUGUUUGGGAAUGCAGCUCUAAGUGGGUGGUAAAUUCCAUCUAAAGCUAAAUAUUGGCGAGAGACCGAUAGCGAACAAGUACAGUGAUGGAAAGAUGAAAAGAACUUUGAAAAGAGAGUGAAAAAGUACGUGAAAUUGUUGAAAGGGAAGGGCAUUAGAUCAGACUUGGUGUUUUACGAUUAUCUUCUCUUCUUGAGUUGUGCACUCGUAUUUCACUGGGCCAGCAUCGAUUCGGAUGGCAAGAUAAUGGCAGUUGAAUGUGGCUUCACUUCGGUGGAGUGUUAUAGCUUCUGCUGAUAUUGCCUGUCUGGAUCGA
rnacentral:rRNA from 1 species